GUGAGGAAUAUUGGACAAUGGGCGCAAGCCUGAUCCAGCCAUGCCGCGUGCAGGAAGACGCAUCUAUGGUGUGUAAACUGCUUUUGUACGGGAAGAAACACUCCCUCGUGAGGGAGCUUGACGGUACCGUAAGAAUAAGGAUCGGCUAACUCCGUGCCAGCAGCCGCGGUAAUACGGAGGAUCCAAGCGUUAUCCGGAAUCAUUGGGUUUAAAGGGUCCGUAGGCGGUCUAAUAAGUCAGUGGUUAAAGCCCAUCGCUCAACGAUGGAACGGCCAUUGAUACUGUUAGACUUGAAUUACAAGGAAGUAACUAUAAUAUGUAGUGUAGCGGUGAAAUGCUUAGAUAUUACAUGGAAUACCAAUUGCGAAGGCAGGUUACUACUUGUGGAUUGACGCUGAUGGACGAAAGCGUGGGGAGCGAACAGGAUUAGAAACCCCGGUAGUCC
rnacentral:rRNA from 1 species